AUGGGCCACGCCAUCCAGCUCUCCGUCUGCUUCGCGCACCCGCCGGCCCUCUCCUACGUCUGCAUCCACUGCCCCGGCCUCGCACAUGCCGACUUCUCCGACGAGCCGUGCGUCGUCUGCUCAGAGAAGCAGUUCCUCCUCCCCCGCCUGCCACUGUGGACCACCGGGUGCCGGGAGGCGGUCGAUGAGUACUACAUGUAUCAGGCCAUCCCGGGGAAACCUACGCUCUGCCAGAUCCCUCCGAUUUUCUGUCGCGGCUUGCUCAUGCCAAAUGAUAUCAGCAUCUACUCUUGUGGUGGCGACGGGGAAUACAUGUUGGCUGCUCUCUCGCUGACAUGCAAUCCCAUGGCGCAUCAACUCCACUCGUACUCCAAGUCUAAUGUUUGGACUAUGAAACCUGCUCGCCUGGUGAGACGGCCGUCGGAGGACCACCUCCCUGUCAAGAUCCACAAGGAUCCCCAGCAUGAUGUGUGGUUCAUCCCACUUCCCGAGCUGAUGCCUGGUAACAAGGGCGAUCAUAUAUGCCCGUAG
rnacentral:rRNA from 1 species